UAUGUCGUAUGUCGCACCCUGGACGACAUUCAAAUGUUUCAAAUGUCGUAUGUCGCGUUCUCAACGACAUUCAAGAUUUUCGAAUGUCGUAUGUCGUAUUUUGUUUGUUAAGCCAACUUUACACAGCUAACUGUUGAAAGGUUGAUAAUCUCACAUUAAACAUGACUAUUAGCAUCCAACUUUUAACAAUUAUCAUAACUAUAACGAUAUCUUAGUUUAAAUAAAAACAUGGAUUAGUUAAGGUAGAGUUUAUAUGAAUUCAUGGCUUUAAAAAUCAUUUGUUUACAAUGUCGACCUUGUCUCUUCAGGAAACAGAAAGAACUUAGGGCGAAAAACAGGAAAAUGAAAGAAGAAUUUGAGGAAAAAUUAAGGGAAUCGGGGGUAGAGGAGGAAAAGAGUUUCUACGACUACUGUGUGCUGCAGUAAGAAAAAUGUGGCGGAUAAAUAACUGGACAAUUUAGAAAACGCUGUGCUGGACAUGGAUCAGUAAAAGUUGAUAACUGGCUUAUAACACGCUCGACUAUUCGACAACUCCUAAGUUAAACAAGGACCAUGGCCGUGCAAGAAACCGUUUUUCAAACUAUUAUAAUUGUACUUUCAAACUAUUACAAUUGAAUUCAAAUUCAUUUUAGUAUGGUAAUGACAACAACCUGCAUUCAAAACUUCAAAUAAAUUUUCUAAGUCAUGUAAGGGAUAUAUUUUGAAUAAGUUUCUACAGAGAGUUCUGGUUAUGUAAAUGGACAACAUGUGUGAUCUCAGUCUGUACUGAGACACAGUUAUACUGUAAUUAGUCGUCAGAGUUCUUCAACAGCAAUAUUCUCUUUAAAGCAAAUUGUAAACUCAAUUUUUCAUCUUGGUUAUUUCUGUUGAUUUUAUGACUGGAAGCACUAUGUGUAGUUUUAAUCAAAUACAGUUUAUACUAAUUUAUUUUAGGUCGAUUGUUAAACAAGUUCUACAACUUAUAGUAUAUAUCACUCUCGACACCUGAUAGAAUCCAUCGCCAUGAGGCUAUGAGAGAAGAGGCCAGUUUCCCUUUUAAUGUUAAUCGCCAAACAAGGGCGCUACCAGUACCAUUUUUCACGUCUUUGAUAUGACGCGACCGGGGAUUGAACCAACGACAUCCCGCACUCAUAGCGGACGCUCUACCACUAGGCUAUCGAGGCAGUGUAUUAUAUAGAAAUGCUUUGCAACAUAAAAAUCUACACAAAUACAUGUUGUUUCUAAGAUACGGCUUGAUAAUUAUUUACAUGCAAAACUUAAACCAAUUUUCUAAUUUAAAAAAGGACCAUAAUUUGUAUUAAAUUCAGCCAACAGUUAUUCAACUUGGUUAUUUCCGUAGGUUUGAUGACAAAAAAAAGCCUUACGUUUAAAUCCAGCAUAUGCAAUGAAUGCUUAGAAAUUACCUUACAUGCACAUUUUUAAGCAAGGUGUUGAUGUUAACGAAGGGAACUCUAACUAACAACAGAGUGAAUGGAUUACCUUCACUGUUCGUCGAAUAGUUGAAUGCACUGGAAUUCUUUUUAAAAAAUGGGCAAUUUGAUCUCUGAUCAGUGUACAUCAAAUAUUUACACAUAUAUUGCAUAAACGAAGUAUUUGCCAAAGCCAAAACGUGAGGUUGCGUUUUUACUGUUUUGGUUCAUAUGUCGGUCAGUAUUCCAUAAUUGGGCAGUUGGUCCAUUUUUGUCCCAAAUUUAAGUAUCAUGAAACCAGUAUUGUUCUCGCUUUCAUUGUAAUAACAAUUAAAUGAAAAACAAAAUGAAAAUGAAAUACAGUGAAGUGAUACGCAUGUACAAUUUACUUGCUCUACUUUUUGUUUUACAUAUUUCAUUUUUUUCUCACUCUUGUAACAAUGCGUUUGUGAAAGUCUGAGUUUUAGUGUUUCCAGACCUCGACAGAAAAUGAUACUGCAAUCAUGAUAACAACAAAAUCACUUUAAACAUUGACUUUUCAGUACAAAUGAUGUUUUAUUACAAGGGAGUCUGAUAAUCAUGUACGUGUCGACUGAAAGUGAACCCCCAAUUAAGGCCUCUUAGCGUUUAAAUUCACUUGCAAAUUACAUUUUAUCCUUAAAUUAUAGUAUGUUUUUAAAUCCCUCUCCAUCUAUAUAUUUAAGUCAGAUUUUACGUUUAACUGUACUUUAAACAACAUUUACUUUCAUUAUUAUUUUUUAUUCCCUUUUGGGGCCUAAUGUAAACUUAAAUAUGGAUAUUUCAGCAUGGUAUCUAACCUGACUGAUUUCCAUUUACCCUACCCUAGCGAACAUCUUGAUGUAUGACACCAUAUUGUACUAAAAAUGGCCUACAGAUUUUGUAUUUAGUUUCUUCGCCAACUGCCUAAUGGCCAUAUGUUAUUAUCCCCGACGAAAGCGGAGGGAUAUAGUUUUGGCGUUGUCCGUCCGUCCGUCUUUCCGUCUGUCCGUCCGGAGUCAUAUCUAAGAAA
rnacentral:lncRNA from 1 species